rnacentral:lncRNA from 1 species
AUUAUGCCCCGAGAGUAUAAAUUUUGAACGAAUCGAUGUCAACGUUCACAAGAACGAAAACCGGAACAACAUUAGACUACUCAGUUGCGCCCUAACAGUAUAACAUUGCAACAAGUACUUUUUCUCAUUCAAUCGAACAAAGAGAAAAAUCUAAUUAUUUUGUUCUAUUAUGCCCUGAGAGUGUAAAUUUCGAACGAAUCGAUGUCAACGUUCACAAGAACCUAAACUGAAACAACAUUAGACUACUAAGUUGCACCCUAACAGUAUAACUUUGCAACGAGUACUUUUUCUCAUUCAAUCGAACAAAGAGUAAAAUAUUAUUAUCUUGUUCUAUUAUGCCCGAGAUUGUAAAUUUCGAACGAAUCGUUGUCAACGUUCACAAAAAUCAAAACCAGAACAACAUUAGACUACUCAGUUGCGCCCUAACAGUAUAACAUUGCAACAAGUACUUUUUCUCAUUCAAUCGAACAAAGAGUAAAAUCUAAUUAUUUUGUUCUAUUAUGCCCGAGAUUGUAAAUUUCGAACGAAUCGUUGUCAACGUUCACGAAAACCAAAACCAGAACAAUAUUAGACUACUCAGUUGCGCCCUAAUAGUAUAACUUUGCAACGAGUACUUUUUCUCAUUCAACCAAAUAAAGAGCAAAAACCUAUUUAAACUGUUCUAUUAUGCCCCGAGAGUGUAAUAGUGGAACGAAACGAUAUCAAAGUUCACAAGAACUAAAACCGGAACAACAUUAGACUACUCGGUUGCGCCCUAACAUUAUAACUUUGCAACGAGUGCUUUUUCUUAUUCAAUCAAACAAAGUGUAAAACCUAAUUAUAUUGUUCUAUUUUGCCCCGAGAGUGUAAAUUUCGAACGAAUCGAUGUCAACGUUCACAAGAACGAAAACCGGAACAAUAUUAGAUUACUCAGUUGCGCCAUAACAGUAUAACAUUGCAACGAGUACUUUUUCUCAUUCAAACAAACAAAGAGUAAAAACCUAAUAACAUUGUUCUACUAUGCCCCGAGAGUGUAAUAUUGGAACGAAACGAUGUCAGCAUUAAUAAGAACCAAAACCGGAACAAUAUUAGACUACUAAGUAGCGCCCUAACAGUUUAACUUUGCAACGAGUAUUUUUUCUCAUUCAAUCGAACAAAGAGUAAAACCUAAUUAUCUUGUUCUAUUAUGCCCCGAGAGUGUAAAUUUCAAAUGAAUCGAUGUCAAUGUUCACAAGAACCAAAACCAGAACAACAUUAGACUACUCAGUUGCGCCCUAACAGUAUAACAUUGCAACAAAUACUUUUUCUCAUUCAAUCGAACAAAGAGUAAAAUCUAAUUAUAUUGUUCUAUUAUGCCCCGAGAGUGCAAAUUUCGAUCGAAUCAAUGUCAACGUUCACAAGAACCAAAACUGGAACAACAUUAAACUGCACAGUUGCGCCCUAACAGUAUAACUUUGCAACGAGUACUUUUUCUCAUUCAAACAAACAAAGAGUAAAAACCUAAUUAUAUUGUUCUAUUAUGCGCCGAGAGUGUAAUAGUAGAACGAAACGAUAUCAAAGUUCACAAGAACCAAAACCGGAACAACAUUAGACUACUCGGUUGCGCCCUAACAUGAUAACUUUGCAACGAGUGCUUUUUCUUAUUCAAUAAAACAAAGUGUUAAACCUAAUUAUAUUGUUCUAUUUCGCCCCGAGAGUGUAAAUUUCGAACGAAUCGAUGUCAACGUUCACAAGAACGAAAACCGGAACAUUAUUAGACAACUCAGUUGCGCCCUAACAGUAUAACUUUGCAACGAGUACUUUUUCUCAUUCAAACAAACAAAGAGUAAAAACCUAAUUAUAUUGUUCUACUAUGCCCCGAGAGUGUAAUAGUGGNNNNNNNNNNNNNNNNNNNNNNNNNACUUUGCAACGAGUAUUUUUUCUCAUUCAAACAAACAAAGAGUAAAAACCUAAUUAUAUUGUUCUAUUAUGCCCCGAGAGUGUAUUAGUGGAACGAAACGAUAUCAAAGUUCACAAGAACCAAAACCGGAACAACAUUAGACUACUCGGUUGCGCCCUAACAUUAUAACUUUGCAACGAGUGCUUUUUCUUAUUCAAUAAAACAAAGUGUAAA